rnacentral:rRNA from 1 species
GCUCCAAUAGCGUAUAUUAAAGUUGUUGCAGUUAAAAAGCUCGUAGUUGAAUUUCGGGAUCAAUAUAUCGGUCGUGCCUUGGUACGUACUGGUAUCAUUGGUUUCUCCUUUCUGACGAACCAUGAUGUCAUUAAUUUGGUGUUAUGGGAAGUUAGGACUGUUACUUUGAAAAAAUUAGAGUGUUUAAAGCAGGCUUUAGCUUGAAUACAUUAGCAUGGAAUAAUGAAAUAGGACGUUUGAUUCUAUUUUGUUGGUUUCUAGGAUCGACGUAAUGAUUAAUAGUGAUAGUUGGGGGCAUUAGUAUUCAAUUGUCAGAGGUGAAAUUCUUGGAUUUAUUGAAGACUAACUACUGCGAAAGCAUUUGCCAAGGAUGUUUUCAUUAAUCAAGAACGAAAGUUAGGGGAUCGAAGA